AAUAAAGUGCCUGAUAAUAAGGGACUCUCUGAUGAGGGGUUUAUGUAGUUAUUUUACCUUUAUUU
rnacentral:tRNA from 1 species